rnacentral:misc_RNA from 1 species
GAUGAAGAACGCAGCGAAAUGCGAUAAGUAGUGUGAAUUGCAGAAUUCCGUGAAUCAUCGAGUCUUUGAACGCACAUUGCGCCCCCUGGUAUUCCGGGGGGCAUGCCUGUCCGAGCGUCAUUGCUGCCCUCAAGCACGGCUUGUGUGUUGGGCUUCCGUCCCUGGCAACGGGGACGGGCCCAAAAGGCAGUGGCGGCACCAUGUCUGGUCCUCGAGCGUAUGGGGCUUUGUCACCCGCUCCCGUAGGUCCAGCUGGCAGCUAGCCUCGCAACCAAUCUUUUUAACCAGGUUGACCUCGGAUCAGGUAGGGAUACCCGCUGAACUUAAGCAUAUCAAUAAGCGGAGGA